CUUGCUUCUCGCCGGCGACCGGCGCACGGGUGAGUAACACGUAUGGAACCUGCCCGCCACAGGGGGAUAACCCGGGGAAACCCGGCCUAAUACCCCAUGCCGCCCGGACCGGGCAUCCGGUCCGGGCGAAAGGAGGAAUCCGGUGGCGGCUGGGCAUGCGGCGCAUUAGCUUGACGGCGGGGUAACGGCCCACCGUGGCGACGAUGCGUAGGGGUUCUGAGAGGAAGGCCCCCCACACUGGAACCGAGACACGGUCCAGACUCCUACGGAAGGCAGCAG
rnacentral:rRNA from 1 species